rnacentral:rRNA from 1 species
UAGCUAGUUGGUAGGGUAAAGGCCUACCAAGGCGACGAUCGGUAGCUGGUCUGAGAGGAUGACCAGCCACACUGGAACUGAGACACGGUCCAGACUCCUACGGGAGGCAGCAGUGGGGAAUAUUGGACAAUGGGGGCAACCCUGAUCCAGCAAUGCCGCGUGUGUGAAGAAGGCCUGAGGGUUGUAAAGCACUUUCAGUGGGGAGGAGGAUUGAUAGGUUAAGAGCUAAUUAAUUGGACGUUACCCACAGAAGAAGCACCGGCUAACUCCGUGCCAGCAGCCGCGGUAAUACGGAGGGUGCGAGCGUUAAUCGGAAUUACUGGGCGUAAAGGGUGCGUAGGUGGUUGUAUAAGUUAUCUGUGAAAUCCCUGGGCUUAACCUGGGCAGGUCAGAUAAGACUGUAUGACUCGAGUAUGGGAGAGGGUAGUGGAAUUUCCGGUGUAGCGGUGAAAUGCGUAGAGAUCGGAAGGAACACCAGUGGCGAAGGCGGCUACCUGGCCCAAUACUGACACUGAGGCACGAAAGCGUGGGGAGCAAACAGGAUUAGAUACCCUGGUAGUCCACGCUGUAAACGAUGUCAACUAGCUGUUGGUUAUAUGAAUAUAAUUAGUGGCGC